UACGAGGGGUGCUAGCGUUGUUCGGAAUCACUGGGCGUAAAGCGUACGUAGGCGGACUGUCAAGUCAGGGGUGAAAUCCCAGAGCUUAACUCUGGAACUGCCUUUGAAACUGUCAGUCUGGAGGCCGAGAGAGGAUAGUGGAAUUCCUAGUGUAGAGGUGAAAUUCGUAGAUAUUAGGAGGAACACCAGUGGCGAAGGCGACUGUCUGGCUCGGUUCUGACGCUCAAGUACGAAAGCGUGGGGAGCAAACAGG
rnacentral:rRNA from 1 species